rnacentral:rRNA from 1 species
GUGCCAGCAGCCGCGGUAAGACAGAGGUGCCAAGCGUUAGGCGGAAUCACUGGGCUUAAAGCGUGUGUAGGUGGAUGUUUAAGUACCUUGUGAAAUCCCACAGCUCAACUGUGGAACUGCUCGGUAUACUGAACGUCUUGAGCUACUUAGGGGCAACCGGAACAAAUGGUGGAGCGGUGAAAUGCGUAGAUAUCAUUUGGAACGCCAAUGGUGAAAACAGGUUGCUGGGAGUAUGCUGACACUGAGACACGAAAGCCAGGGGAGCAAACGAGAUUAGAAACCCCUGUAGUCC